rnacentral:rRNA from 1 species
ACUCAAAUGAAUUGACGGGGGCCCGCACAAGCGGUGGAGCAUGUGGUUCAAUUCGACGCAACGCGAAGAACCUUACCUGGGCUCGAACGGCCGACGCAACCCGGUGGAAACAUCGGGGUUCCCGCAAGGGACGGCGGUCGAGGUGCUGCAUGGCUGUCGUCAGCUCGUGUCGUGAGAUGUUGGGUUAAGUCCCGCAACGAGCGCAACCCUUGUCCUGUGUUGGCAUGCCCGCAAGGGCGCAACUCGCAGGAGACCGCCAGCGAUAAGCUGGAGGAAGGUGGGGAUGACGUCAAGUCCUCAUGGCCUUUAUGUCCAGGGCUACACACGUGCUACAAUGGCCGGUACAAAGGGAUGCCAACCCGCGAGGGGGAGCCAAUCCCAAAAAGCCGGUCUCAGUUCGGAUUGCAGGCUGCAACUCGCCUGCAUGAAGCUGGAAUCGCUAGUAAUGCCAUAUCAGAACGAUGGCGUGAAUACGUUCCCGGGCCUUGUACACACCGCCCGU